AGCAAUUGAGAGGCUAAUGUAGUGAGAUGGAUAUGCCUUGGUGUAAAUCCAAUCCUUUAAGAUUACAUGUGCGAGACCAAAAGAAGGAAAAAAAAUGGUGAGCAAAUUUAGGAAGUCAUCACUACCUAGACCAAAAAAAUCUGGAAAACCACAUAAUAAUAAAUAAUGUAAAAAGGAACUAUAUUCGUUUUACAUUUAAUUCAACAAAUUUUGUUAAUUGGAAGAUCUAUAUUACCCACCAAGUUCACUGACCAGCUGUACAUAGUUGUGACCUUCACAACCAAUUAAGUAUGAGAACCAUGUGUUAAAAUGCAAAAAAUAUUUAAGCGCUCGAGGUUUAGCUGCUAAGUGGUGGCUAAGUGUAAGUAUCCUACAGAAUAGUUCUUUUUCAGUUAUGCCGCAUUUUCCAUGGUCUACGUUCCUACACACAGGAGUUGAUUCAAUACAACAUAGGAUUGUAUAACCCGUCCUAUACGGCCGGCAAAGUUUAAUCAUGAAAGAAGAUAUACCAUAAGUUGAAUGUCCAGCGUGAGAACUAAUACAACAAAUAUGCAUAAACUGGAAUUCUUAAGGCAUAGGUGACAGCGAGAUAGAAAACAGAUGCUGCUCCGGGUGAGAUCUUAAGAUGACCACCAAUACACUUGCGGUCGGCAGCAAUCCUUCAAAACUAAGAAACAUGUAGGCCGACCUUUUUUCCCCUCAAAAGUCAUGGAGAGGCUUCACUAUUUUCAUUUAUAAAUAAGAAUGUUAGCUUGUCGGCUUCAUAAGUUGAAAAUGCUGACAGACAUAGCCCUAUAUAUGGAGAUAAAAAGGGUUAAUUAACGUGAUGACUGAAGUUCUAAAGACAUUUGGCAAAACUGAAAUCGGGUUCACAUCUAAUGGAUGCUAGACCGUGUCUAUUCUUACCUGUCAAAUAGACACUUUUGCAAUGGGGAAGUAAAUAGUUCUAUGAAAUGGGAUUGCUAAAUACCGCAUUACUUGAAAUAAUAAAAACACCUUUCAAAUAUUUCACGUAUUUACAUAACUGAGAGAAAAAACCAUCACGGACCAAAAAAACAGUUCUUGUCCAAUUUCUAGUUGGGAUCAUAACGCACAUACUGCAUCCUAACAUUAAUCUAGGCGGACUACAUAUUCACUUGGCAUACAGUGCAAUCAUGAUACAAUAUUGAUUGUACAUAAGACAUGGAGCAGUAUGGCCACAAGCGCUCUAGCUAUUCUCACAAUAUAUAAUCAAUUAAAAAAAUGUAGUAGCUCAUACCUGACGCUUUUAUUCAACUAUGGCUAUUCGUGAUGCCUUAUCUACAAACGCACACAAUCUUAUCAUAAGCAUUUAUAUAUAAGGAAAUCAUUAACCCAUAUACGAUAUAAAACCAUUAAAUGAAAAAUUGCAGAACAUGCAUGGUAAAUUAAUUUGGCUGCAUAUGUAGCUAUCGCCUGCCCGCGAAAAUCAUCGGGCGAAGUGUACAGAAUUUCCACAUAAAUCUAUCUAGUUAUCCAAAUCUUCAUCAAACCUGACUCGGAAAAAGGAGAUGACAGAUCAAGAUGUGUGAGGUAAUUGCCCCUUGAAUCUGGUACAUGAACAAAUUGAAAGGAUAGGAAGCAAGAAUCCAUGAAUUGGGGAUUAAUAAACACAUCAUUAGGCUAGAAUAUUGUACAGCUAGUAAGGGAGCAAGAUGUACCCGUAGAUGGAUAUUGGCGGCCAUGGUGAAGGCUCCCAAUUUUUCCUGCGCGACAAAAAGAGAGGAAUAGGGCCGGAAACUAUAGGCCAGCAACGAAUCAGAUCGAAUCGGGCCUAGCCUAGGCAUGGAUGGAGGGAGGUGGGGAUGGAGGCGACAUACCUGUAGAACUAAACUGCAGUUCUAGCUUGCGCUCGGGGAUAUUGAUGAGGUUGUAGAUUUUGCCCUUCUGCUUGAAAUUCCACCCAUCCUCCAGAUCGAUUGCCUUGCGCUCCUACCCCGCCAUCGCCACCGUAGUGGCGGCUGACUUCGGAUGCGUCCGUCGCCGGGUGGGUGUCGUUUGGGGUGAGAGAGAUGCUCAGACGGGAGAUGGGGAACGGAGACGGGUCGACCCGCUUAAUGAGGAGGGAUCCCGACGCACGUUUCAAUUGGAUUGAAGGAGGGGUUUGCUUCCGCUUCCGUGGGUCAAGGAAGGAGGAGUCAACCGAAGGAAGCACGGGGGAAUCAACUGCAGAUCUGAGCCAUACAUGGUCAAUCAAACGACAGGAAAUAAUUGUAGUGACG
rnacentral:lncRNA from 1 species